CCCAAGCAUUCCCUCUUUCGUUCUCUUCUAAAAUCUUAAUUGAACAGUGGCAAUCAAUGAGUUACUCUUUCUCUCUCUCUCUCUCUCUCUCUCUCUCUAUUUGCUAGCCUUCUCCUCCAUCGGCCUUGAAGACAAAAUUUGCAAGAUUAAUACCUAGCUAUGGCUAAAUCCCAAUCUCGUCAUGGAUUUUGCUCAGUUACGAUCAAUUUCAGCAACAUUUUCGAGAAAUUCACCGUAAAUUUUGUUCAUUUUCAGGUCGUUGUUCGUGAAGUGAAGGCAUGGGAUCGACCGAGCGCGACUCAUUUCUCCGAGUAAUUUUGUUCUACACCGAAUGAAACCCUAGCUUUGCUCUUGAGAGAAAUUGCUGCAGAAUUUUCUUCGAGUCUUUGUCGGAGCUCUGUCGAUCCAAAUAUGAGGUUGUUGCAAAACAAUAGCAUUUCAGGUCAUAUUCCUCUAGAAAUGGUACCUGUUGUAUCUCAGGGUCUUUGAAAGAAGUAGCAUGGAAUCUGCAAUUUUUGGCUUUCCAAGAAACUUUCCUUCUGGAAGACUUCUUUUCAAAGCUUGAAUGAAAAUGUGUUCUGCUCUCAUGAAGUCACUGUCACUUUCAGGUACUUGGCAACAAUCUUAGUGGACCUAUUCCCAAAUUUCCAGCCAGAGCAUUUAAGUAUGUCUUCACUAUCAUGUUAACUUCACAAAACAAAAGCAGACAUCUCAAAAUGAAGAAAUUUCUCUGGGAAUUCCUAUUCAUUUUAAUGUCUCUGCAUUGGAAUCAGAUAUUGCAGACAUCUUCGGGGAUGUUAAGCUGCAGCACAAAAGCCUAAAGGAGAAAGUGAAGGAUUGCAACAAGAAGGAACCACCAUACACAGAAGAAAAGGAGUAGGACUACUCGCAAAUGACUUGCUUGAGAUAGUGGAAAAGUUUCUGGAAAAUGAGCAGGACUACUUGAAAAUGACUUGCUUAAAUUCUUCAUCUCUCACCUUGCAAUUUUAUGGAAUGUGGUUCUAUUGGGUUGUGGAUGUUGGUUACUUUCCCAAAUUAGGAAGUGAAUUGAUUGCUGACCUUUUUACACUCUAGUGUUCAAGCAUGGUAAUGACUAUAUUUUUGUGUUAUUUCGGGAUUUUGAGACGUGAAGAUACUUUUGAGAGACGUUUGAUGAAUUUGUGCUUUUCAAGACAAGCACUUCUGGGGAUAUGUGAAAUAUCUUGUCAUUGUAAUGAACUUAUUACAUUACAAGGAAGUUCAUCCUUUUUUUUUUCUUUUCAAAAUGAUGACAUGCGAUAAAGUUUGUAAAAUUUGACUGAAGCAAUGUAUGAUACUUUGUUCUA